ACGGGAGGCAGCAGUGAGGAAUAUUGGUCAAUGGACGAGAGUCUGAACCAGCCAAGUAGCGUGCAGGAUGACGGCCCUAUGGGUUGUAAACUGCUUUUGUACGGGGAUAAAGUGACCUACGUGUAGGUUUUUGUAUGUACCGUAAGAAUAAGGACCGGCUAACUCCGUGCCAGCAGCCGCGGUAAUACGGAAGGUCCGGGCGUAUCCGGAUUUAUUGGGUUUAAAGGGAGCGUAGGCCGUGCUUUAAGCGUGUUGUGAAAUGUAGGGGCCCAACGUCUGCACUGCAGCGCGAACUGGAGCACUUGAGUACGCAGGAAGUAGGCGGAAUUCGUCGUGUAGCGGUGAAAUGCUUAGAUAUGACGAAGAACUCCGAUUGGGAAGCCAGCUUACUGUAGCGCCACUGACGCUGAGGCUCGAAAGCGUGGGUAUCGAACAGGAUUAGAUACCCUGGUA
rnacentral:rRNA from 1 species